ACAAAGGCUUUACUGAAAGCCAAAACGGAUUGGCUGAGAAAACAUUU
rfam:Candidatus Nitrosopelagicus brevis strain CN25, complete genome.